rnacentral:rRNA from 1 species
UAGUUUGAUCCUGGCUCAGGAUGAACGCUGGCGGCGUGCUUAACACAUGCAAGUCGAACGAAGCACUUUAUUUGAUUUCCUUCGGGACUGAUUAUUUUGUGACUGAGUGGCGGACGGGUGAGUAACGCGUGGGUAACCUGCCUUGUACAGGGGGAUAACAGUUGGAAACGGCUGCUAAUACCGCAUAAGCGCACAGCAUCGCAUGAUGCAGUGUGAAAAACUCCGGUGGUAUAAGAUGGACCCGCGUUGGAUUAGCUAGUUGGCAGGGCAGCGGCCCACCAAGGCGACGAUUGGUAGCCGGACUGAGAGGUUGAACGGCCACAUUGGGACUGAGACACGGCCCAGACUCCUACGGGAGGCAGCAGUGGGGGAUAUUGCACAAUGGGGGAAACCCUGAUGCAGCGACGCCGCGUGAAGGAAGAAGUAUCUCGGUAUGUAAACUUCUAUCAGCAGGGAAGAUAGUGACGGUACCUGACUAAGAAGCCCCGGCUAACUACGUGCCAGCCGCCGCGGUAAUUC